UAGACAAACUUGUAUUUUUGAGAAGAUCAGGGAGUUUUGCGACAAAGAGGCUAUGGACAUCACAUGCCCUGCACCAAAGUCAAGGGGGAUCUCUGCUCUUACGUGACACUUUCUACGGCUCACAUGGACUCUCAGAAGGCGGCAAAAUGCUGAAUCGUGGCUUUGCAGGCUCUGGCUGAAACAAAGUAGCGCGUUUGGAUAGUGGCUGGUUACUUCCGGUUUGGAGCGAGCAGUCGCACUACGCUUCGCUCCACAGGCCGGUGGUGGCUGGCCCACUCCAGGAGGCUGAAAUGCGGGAGGUUCCUCCGCCCCCUCUGGACAUCGAGGGGGCCCCGGCGUACUCCGUUCGAUUCAUCCUGGAUUCGAGACGUCGGGCGAGGGGCCUUCAGUACCUCGUGGACUGGGAGGGGUAAGGUCCUGAGGAGAGAUUCUGGGUUCCGGUGGAGGACGUGUUAGAUCCUUCCUUGCUGCGAGAGUUCCACCGUCUCCAUCCGGGUCGUCCUCGAGGCCGGUGUCGACGCGUCAGAGGGGGUACUGUCACGACUUCUGCCGAAGUCAAUGCCCCUCCUUGUUCGGGCGGUGCUCGGCGGUCGACGUCACCGGUCUUCUAGCCAUCAUUGAUCCAUUUUUCAUUUUCCAUUGGUUUUGUCUUGUCUUCCUACACACCUGGUUCCAAUCCCAUUCAUUACAUGUUGUGUAUUUAACCCUCUGUUUCCCCUCAUGUCCUUGUCAGAGAUUGUUUGUUGUUAUGUGCUCGUGUUGUUGUAUUGGUGCACGACAGGUUAUUAUACCCAUGUUUAUUGUAGUAUGUAUGUUGGUUUUGGAGUUUGUUUUUAACUUUAUUAAACUACUCCAGUUCCACCAA
rnacentral:lncRNA from 1 species